rnacentral:tRNA from 1 species
GAGCUGGUGGUGUAGUGGCAGCACGCCAACCUCUGUGGUUGGAGGGACGGGUUCGAUUCCCGAACAGUUCA